GCACUCAUGUAUGCAACUUGUAUGGACAGAGUGACUAGUCUAGUGUUCACGAGUGCCAAUUUUUGGAUGCCUUCUAUUGCUGUGCUGGUCUGUGAGGCGGCGUAACUCCUUGUUUUGCAACAGUUGACAGUGCACAAAGUAUAUGUGUGGCUGGUGACGUGCGACGCAUUGGGUAAGAUCUAUGUCUCUUCAGUGCGCGGGGAAGUUUGUCCGCCGACGGCAUUCAGAUUGCUAAACUAGACUCGUCAGUAUGUCCAUUACAGUUGCAUACUUGUGUGG
rnacentral:pre_miRNA from 1 species